rnacentral:lncRNA from 1 species
CUCUCUGUCGUGUGGGGCAAUAGAAGGCACACUAAUACACUGUUCUCCCCUUUUUCUGAUAUUAUAAGCUUCAAUUAUUUCUCGUGUAGUUUGAUCUCGGUGUGUCGAUAGCACUUCAG